rnacentral:rRNA from 2 species
UACGGGGGGGCAAGCGUUGUUCGGAAUUACUGGGCGUAAAGGGCGCGUAGGCGGCCUUCUAAGUCAGACGUGAAAUCCCUCGGCUCAACCGAGGAACUGCGUCUGAUACUGGAAGGCUUGAAUCCGGGAGAGGGAUGUGGAAUUCCAGGUGUAGCGGUGAAAUGCGUAGAUAUCUGGAGGAACACCGGUGGCGAAGGCGGCAUCCUGGACCGGUAUUGACGCUGAGGCGCGAAAGCUAGGGGAGCAAACGGG